rnacentral:rRNA from 2 species
UACAGAGGGUGCGAGCGUUAAUCGGAAUUACUGGGCGUAAAGGGUGCGUAGGUGGCCUGAUAAGUCAGAUGUGAAAUCCCCGGGCUUAACCUGGGAAUUGCAUUUGAUACUGCCAGGCUAGAGUGUGAUAGAGGUAAGCGGAAUUCCCGGUGUAGCGGUGAAAUGCGUAGAUAUCGGGAGGAACAUCAGUGGCGAAGGCGGCUUACUGGAUCAACACUGACACUGAGGCACGAAAGCGUGGGUAGCAAACAGG